rnacentral:rRNA from 1 species
GACAGAGGAUGCAAGCGUUAUCCGGAAUGAUUGGGCGUAAAGCGUCUGUAGGUGGCUUUCAAGUCCGCCGUCAAAUCCCAGGGCUCAACCCUGGACAGGCGGUGGAAACUACCAAGCUGGAGUACGGUGAGGGGCAGAGGGAAUUUCCGGUGGAGCGGUGAAAUGCAUUGAGAUCGGAAAGAACACCAACGGCGAAAGCAUCUGCUGGGCC